UGCCCAGUGACAAAAGUUAAACGGCCGCGGUAUCUUGACCGUGCUAAGGUAGCGCAAUCACUUGUUUUUUAAAUGAAGACCUGUAUGAAUGGUGAAACGAGGGCUUAACUGUCUCCCCUUUCUGGUCAAUGAAACUGAUCUGCUCGUGCAGAAGCGAGCAUACACCUACAAGACGAGAAGACCCUUUGGAGCUUCAGACACAAAGUCAACUGUACUUAAAGCCAAACAAAACGGAAUAAAACAAACAGUAACUGACUAGAGUCUUCGGUUGGGGCGACCAUGGGGAAAAAUAAAACCCCCACGUGGAAUGGACCAUUCCCUAAACCAAGAGAGACAUCUCUAAGCCGCAGAAUAUCUGACCAAUAAGAUCCGGCCAACAGGCCGAUCAACGGACCAAGUUACCCUAGGGAUAACAGCGCAAUCCUCUUCAAGAGUCCAUAUCGACAAGAGGGUUUACGACCUCGAUGUUGGAUCAGGACAUCCUAAUGGCGCAGCCGCUAUUAAGGG
rnacentral:rRNA from 1 species